rnacentral:rRNA from 1 species
UAGAGUUUGAUCAUGGCUCAGAUUGAACGCUGGCGGCAUGCCUUACACAUGCAAGUCGAACGGUAACAGGUCUUCGGAUGCUGACGAGUGGCGAACGGGUGAGUAAUACAUCGGAACGUGCCCGAUCGUGGGGGAUAACGGAGCGAAAGCUUUGCUAAUACCGCAUACGAUCUACGGAUGAAAGCAGGGGACCGCAAGGCCUUGCGCGGACGGAGCGGCCGAUGGCAGAUUAGGUAGUUGGUGGGAUAAAAGCUUACCAAGCCGACGAUCUGUAGCUGGUCUGAGAGGACGACCAGCCACACUGGGACUGAGACACGGCCCAGACUCCUACGGGAGGCAGCAGUGGGGAAUUUUGGACAAUGGGCGAAAGCCUGAUCCAGCCAUGCCGCGUGCAGGAUGAAGGCCUUCGGGUUGUAAACUGCUUUUGUACGGAACGAAAAGACUCCUUCUAAUAAAGGGGGUCCAUGACGGUACCGUAAGAAUAAGCACCGGCUAACUACGUGCCAGCAGCCGCGGUAAU